rnacentral:rRNA from 1 species
UCGAGAAUCUUCCACAAUGGGCGAAAGCCUGAUGGAGCGACGCUGCGUGCAGGAUGAAGGCCUUAGGGUUGUAAACUGCUGUCACGCUAUAGGAACCCACGGGGGUGAACAUCCCCCGCGCUGACUACAGCGAGAGGAAGUGCCGGCUAACUCCGUGCCAGCAGCCGCGGUAAGACGGAGGGCGCAAGCGUUGUUCGGAAUCACUGGGCAUAAAGAGCACGUAGGCUGUCAGUUAAGUCUGGCGUGAAAGCCCCCGGCUCAACCGGGGAACUGCACCGGAUACUGGCUGACUAGAGGACAGGAGGGGUGAGUGGAACUCCAGGUGGAACGGUGAAAUGUGUAGAUAUCUGGAGGAACACCGGUGGCGAAAGCGGCUCACUGGCCUGUCUCUGACGCUGAGGUGCGAAAGCUAGGGGGAGCAAACGGGAUUAGGAUACCCCGGGUAGUCCUAGCCGUAAACGAUGGGCAC